UCUACAAACACCAAAGAAGCUGCAACUUGAAAUGGGAAUCCACUAGCUUCCUUGGUGUUUGUAGAAUUUUUUUUGUUCUCUUUUUUGAUCUCAACCCGCUUAUUGGUACUAAGGCUACAGUUCUCACCCUUUUAUUUACGGAAUGCUUUUUGAAGACUUGAUCAGAGGUAUGACAGAGGAAGGGCUACUCUGACCUUAGUAAGGAUUCCAACUAGAUGGAUAUACUAGGAAGGGAAGGGAGAGUGUUACUAGACUUCCAAAAAGUAUAUAAGCUAGUAAGGUAUGGAGUUUGAUAUCCUUUUGUUGAUUAGUGUUGGAAUUGAUGAAAUUCCAUGCUCCAUUUUAAAGGGGAGUGUUAUGGAAAUACUAUAAUUAUGUUUAUUUAUAUUCCUAAUUAGUAGAUUCUUAAUUAGUAGGUUUUAUGUAUUCUUAUUUAAUGUAGGAUUUAGAUUCUUAAAUAGGUAGGAGUUUUAAAAAGAAAAUUUAUAUUACUACUUUUGCAAAACUCUGUAGUAUUGGGUGCAUGUAGGAAUGGUUUCUGGGUAAUAUGAGGUCCAUAUAAGCAUUCAAGUUUCUUCUUUAGGAUACUUCAUGUUUUCAUUCUUUGAGUCACUUUCAUGUACUGGAGCUCUUUUGAUCUCAAUUUCAUUCUUUUGUUAUCAAUAGUGCUCAGAAGGUUUCAUGCACA
rnacentral:misc_RNA from 1 species